rnacentral:rRNA from 1 species
AUUGAACGCUGGCGGCAGGCCUAACACAUGCAAGUCGAGCGGAUGAAGGGAGCUUGCUCCUGGAUUCAGCGGCGGACGGGUGAGUAAUGCCUAGGAAUCUGCCUGGUAGUGGGGGAUAACGUCCGGAAACGGGCGCUAAUACCGCAUACGUCCUGAGGGAGAAAGAGGGGGAUCUUCGGACCUCACGCUAUCAGAUGAGCCUAGGUCGGAUUAGCUAGUUGGUGGGGUAAAGGCCUACCAAGGCGACGAUCCGUAACUGGUCUGAGAGGAUGAUCAGUCACACUGGAACUGAGACACGGUCCAGACUCCUACGGGAGGCAGCAGUGGGGAAUAUUGGACCAUGGGCGAAAGCCUGAUCCAGCCAUGCCGCGUGUGUGAAGAAGGUCUUCGGAUUGUAAAGCACUUUAAGUUGGGAGGAAGGGCAGUAAGUUAAUACCUUGCUGUUUUGACGUUACCAACGGAAUAAGCACCGGCUAACUUCGUG